rnacentral:lncRNA from 1 species
GAAUUCUCAGUGGCAGCAGACGUCAGCACAGGAGGCCUGCCUGGCAGUCUUUCCAGCGUCCUCUUUCUCCCACCCCCGAGCUGGACCGAGAAUUGAGAGAAGCCCCCUUCCAGCGCUUGGAGGACGUGAAGCAGAGGCCGGCGUGCAGCCUCCUGUGAUGGGCACCACAUGAGGAGUCCUGCGGCAUCUUUCAGACAGAAACGCGUCCAUUUGCCCAGUCUUCUGCCACGUAGGCAGUCGGAAAGGAAGCCUGCUCCAGACUGGCUGGGUGGGGAAUGGAAGAGAUUGCAGGCGUGCACACGAGUAUCACCCCUCACUGCUGCUCAGCGAUUCGUCGAUGCAUCUCCGCAGCAGUCACCAGGCAUUGCCAUGCUUGCUUAACGGAGGAGAUGGGAGCAACUGAGAAAUUCACCACUGAGCUUUGUGCAAUUAGAUGAGAGAAACAACGUCCUACUCAGCCAAAUGCUUUCUUUGGCUUGAGAUGAUUUUGUUUUUCAUGGAGAAGUUGCAAGGCCUGGGAUGGCGUGGCACCUAGGAAGAGAGAACCUGGAGGCGGGAUAACCCGGCUGACAUCUCUUCUUGACAUUGGUACGAGGGUGAAGAGAAGAAGCUCACGGCCCCACGUCUCCCGUCUACCAGAGGGUCUGAGUGCUUACAGGUUUGUCCAGGAAAAACGCUUUGGUCAAUGUUUAAAAAUCAACAUAUUCACAUAACAUAAAAUUCAGGACUUAUGAGCAUUCUUUCAGUGGGUUUUGUAUAUUCACAAGGUUGCACAACCAUAACAGCUAUUGAAUUCCAGAAUGUUCUCACAAAGCCAAAAGAAAUGCUGUACCCCUAGCAGUCAUGCCUUCCCUCCCCAGCCCCCGGCAGCCACUAAUCUACUCUCUACAGAUUUGCCCAUUCUGGGCACUUCUUAUAAAUACAAUCAUAUAAUAUGUAA